rnacentral:pre_miRNA from 1 species
AUUCUACUCCCUCCGUUGCACAAUACUACAUGCCUUCUAUUUGUCAAAAUAUAUAUGUAUCUAGACAUGUCUUACUAUAUAGGUACAUCCAUUUUUGGACAAAUGGAAGUCAAGUAUUUUGGAACGGAGGGAAUACACA